UACGUAGGGGGCAAGCGUUGUCCGGAAUUAUUGGGCGUAAAGAGCGUGUAGGCGGUCCGGUAAGUCAGCUGUGAAAGUCAAGGGCUCAACCCUUGAAUGCCGGUUGAUACUGUCGGGCUAGAGUCCGGAAGAGGCGAGUGGAAUUCCCGGUGUAGCGGUGAAAUGCGCAGAUAUCGGGAGGAACACCAAUGGCGAAGGCAGCUCGCUGGGACGGUACUGACGCUGAGACGCGAAAGCGUGGGGAGCGACAGG
rnacentral:rRNA from 1 species